rnacentral:rRNA from 1 species
CCUACGGGUGGCAGCAGUGAGGAAUAUUGGUCAAUGGGCGUAAGCCUGAACCAGCCAAGUCGCGUGAGGGAUGAAGGUUCUAUGGAUCGUAAACCUCUUUUAUAAGGGAAUAAAGUGUGGGACGUGUCCUGUUUUGUAUGUACCUUAUGAAUAAGGAUCGGCUAAGUCCGUGCCAGCAGCCGCGGUAAUACGGAGGAUCCGAGCGUUAUCCGGAUUUAUUGGGUUUAAAGGGUGCGUAGGCGGCCUUUUAAGUCAGCGGUGAAAGUCCGUGGCUCAACCAUGGCAUUGCCGUUGAAACUGGGAGGCUUGAGUAUGUUUGAGGCAGGCGGAAUGCGUGGUGUAGCGGUGAAAUGCUUAGAUAUCACGCAGAACCCCGAUUGCGAAGGCAGCCGGCCGAGCCAUGACUGACGCUGAGGCACGAAAGCGUGGGUAUCAAACAGGAUUAGAUACCCUUGUAGUC